AUACGGAGGGUGCAAGCGUUAAUCGGAAUUACUGGGCGUAAAGCGCUCGUAGGCGGCUUGUUAAGUCGGAUGAGAAAGCCCCGGGCUCAACCUGGGAACUGCAUUCGAUACUGGCAAGCUAGAGUAUAGUAGAGGCAAGUGGAAUUCCGGGUGUAGCGGUGAAAUGCGUAGAUAUCCGGAGGAACAUCAGUGGCGAAGGCGACUUGCUGGACUAACAUUGACGCUGAGGUGCGAAAGCGUGGGGAGCAAACAGGAUUAGAAACCCGGGUAGUCC
rnacentral:rRNA from 1 species